rnacentral:lncRNA from 12 species
GGGAGGAAGAUCAUAGAGGAGAUAGCAGUGAGAACCUUUAGGAAUUGCUCUGGACUCUGCAGAAACUGCAUUUACUUGGCAGAUCUGCUCUUGAUGCAUCUCUGUGCUGCUGUGGUGGCCAAGAAGAGCCUGGCAUUCCCAUCUUCAUCAGUCUCACA